rnacentral:sRNA from 1 species
CCAUGAACAACGCAAAUCCCAACAUUCUCGGAACUAGCUCUAUACGAUUUACGAGGUCCCCGGCUGCUUCACGUAGUCGGCUUGUGGCCCAGGACGCAGAUCGUAGGUUUUCGAACAGAAUGGAGACGGACGGAGCUUCUUGCUUCGGCGCUCGAUCUUGGGUGCGGCUCUUCCCUUUCUUCGCCGUGGGAAGGGUCGCAAUGAUUGGACGUACAU